rnacentral:rRNA from 1 species
GAUGAACGCUGGCGGCGUGCCUAAUACAUGCAAGUCGAGCGAACAGACGAGGAGCUUGCUCCUCUGACGUUAGCGGCGGACGGGUGAGUAACACGUGGAUAACCUACCUAUAAGACUGGGAUAACUUCGGGAAACCGGAGCUAAUACCGGAUAAUAUAUUGAACCGCAUGGUUCAAUAGUUAAAGACGGUUUUGCUGUCACUUAUAGAUGGAUCCGCGCCGCAUUAGCUAGUUGGUAAGGUAACGGCUUACCAAGGCAACGAUGCGUAGCCGACCUGAGAGGGUGAUCGGCCGCACUGGAACUGAGACGCGGUCCAGACUCCUACGGGAGGCAGCAGUAGGGAAUAUUCCGCAAUGGGCGAAAGCCUGACGGAGCAACGCCGCGUGAGUGAUGAAGGUCUUCGGAUCGUAAAACUCUGUUAUUAGGGAAGAACAAAUGUGGAAGUAACUAUGCACGUCUUGACGGUACCUAAUCAGAAAGCCACGGCUAACUACGUG